rnacentral:rRNA from 1 species
AAAGGGAGCGUAGGCGGACUGUUAAGUUAGAGGUGAAAGCCCAGGGCUCAACCUUGGAAUUGCCUUUGAUACUGGCAGUCUUGAGUACGGAAGAGGUAUGUGGAACUCCGAGUGUAGAGGUGAAAUUCGUAGAUAUUCGGAAGAACACCAGUGGCGAAGGCGACAUACUGGUCCGUUACUGACGCUGAGGCUCGAAAGCGUGGGGAGCAAACAGGAUUAGAUACCCGGGU